ensembl:lncRNA
CGAAAGCAUCCUUGGGUGAUAUGAAAGCCUUAACCUGCAUUAUUUUUAAACUAGAUGUGAUCUACCUAGGACCUAACAGUUACUAUAGUGUAUAAAUUGCAGGUUAUAAAGGGAUUCUAAUUAGACUCUUGACUUUUCUUUUUAAAGGUUAAAGAGGCUCUCAGCCUGCCUCUAGUGGUGAAGUGGGGGGAGUAGUGGAAACAAGGUGAAGACCGUGCAGACUCAGCUCCUCCUGGCCAGGAAGAAGUCACCCGUUCCUGCGUCCUGGGUUCCCAUGAUCACUGUGAGACUUCCCUCUACCUCUGACAGGAUACACACACACCAGGGCAACCAGACCCUCCUGUGCUAGAAGUGGAUCACUUGCUCUGCAGGUUGCUUCCAUCAUGGGAUUCCCCCUUCACAGCAGACACGGGCAGCAGACAGCGAGAGGCAAAGUGAUCACUCCUUACGUGGUGAUCAUAGUAAGUGCAGUAAAGCCUCUAGGAGAGCGAGCGAGCAACGGAAGUGGGGGCGUGACCAACGAUGCGGCGAAACUGCGCACACUCAGGAAUUCUACCCCAAUCGGAAGUCGGAAGUCGUGGCGUCUUCGGUUACCACGGUGACGAGCCCACUUCCGUUCUCGUACCUCUCGGGUAUCCCUUGUGAGCGCCGGGCACAAAAAUAUAAAGCCAGCCGUUUGAGAUCGUGCCGCGGGAGGUGAAAGGCCCCGCUCCCAACGUGGUGAUCACUCACGCGAAACGCAAGAAUUGCGAGACCCUGAGAUUUCUCCAGCGAUCCCCACCCCCAGGCUCAACGCAGCCAAACUGGACCGCAGUCAGGACUCCAGUUAAGAGUGAAAUGUGCUCUGGUGUAUAGUAAGGAGAUUUGACAGAUGAGUUCACCACUUACCCUACCUCCAAGAAAUAUCCUCCACCAGUCAAUUUUAAUGUAUAACUUAUGUCUCUGGAAAAUCAGCUUUUGGGGUUUUGAAGGCCCUUCAGUCUCCCAGACACCUGGGAGCGCUGUCUCCUUGUGAUAGGGCAUGUGUGUCCCAGAAGAGACACAGGGUUGGGAGGCAGUUCCGGGCUCUGAGUUGGCAGAUAACCAGCCUGAGAUGGAGAACUGGUACUGUAGCUCUUGGAAGGUAGUCUGUGGAAUGUGAUGAAGUUGUGGGUGUCAUGCCUGUCUCAGCCCUCUCAGUCUUCUAGGGUUGCUUUAUGUGAUCAGUUUAACCCUGAGAGCUGUUUGGCCCAACUGACCCUGGAGACCUGGAAAUUGGAGAAAGGAUGGCUGACUGUUGUUAGGAAGGAGACCGAGGGGAUGCUGUUUGCCAUAGAAUGUUGAUAGGUUCUGCAUAGUGCUGAAUAGUGUUGGUAUAAGCACCCGAAUUCCUUUGUUUCUGUCUAGCCUGUACAGUACUCCAGAAACCUCACCAUCUGUACUUAUGUAGUUACAGAGAUAGUAAUUUAGCCCCAGCAAUGUGUACACAUGAUGAAACACUCAUUUGGUCACAAUUAUCCCAUACUGGUGGCAAUGUAAAAUGAUGCAGCCACUUUGGAAAACAGCCUUCCACUUCAUCAAGUAAUUAAACAUAGAGUUACCAUGUGAUCCAGCAGUUCCAUUCUUAAGUAUAUAACCAAGAGUGUUGAAAACAUGUUUAUGCAAAAACUUGUAUUCAAAUCUUCAUAUCAACAUUAUUCAUAAUUGUCAAGAAAGUGGAAAUGUCCCAAAUGUCCACCAGUAAAUGAAUGGAUAAAUAAAAUGUGGUAUAUCCAAACAAUGGUUUGUCAUAUAAAGGAAUGAAGUAAUAAUACAUACUACCACAUAAAUGAACCUUGAAACUAUGCUAACAAGCCAGUCACAAAAGACUACAUAUUGUGAUUCCAUUAAUAUCAAAUGUCCACUCGAAGCAAAUCUAUAGAAACAAAAAGUAGAUUUGUGAUUACCCUGGGCUGGGGAGGUUGAGGGGAAUUGAGGAGUGAUUGCUAAUGGGUAGAAUUUCUCUCUUGAGGUGACGAAAAUGUUCUAAAAUUGAUUAUGGUAAUCUUUGCACAACUGUGAGUAUACUAAAAAAUUAUUGAAUUGUGAACUGCAAAUGGGUGAAUUUUAUGACAUGUGAAUUAUAUUUCUAUACAGUUGUUUUAAAAAAACAAUGAGGAAAAUAAAAUUCAUUGCUGGUGA